rnacentral:rRNA from 1 species
UACGUAGGUGGCAAGCGUUGUCCGGAUUUACUGGGUGUAAAGGGCGUGCAGCCGGGAAGGCAAGUCAGAUGUGAAAUCUGGAGGCUCAACCUCCAAACUGCAUUUGAAACUGGAUAUCUAGAGUGCGGGAGAGGUAAGUGGAAUUCCUAGUGUAGCGGUGAAAUGCGUAGAGAUUUGGAAGAACACCAGUGGCGAAGGCGACUUUCUGGACGAUGUCUGACGCUGAGGCGCGAAAGCUAGGGGAGCGAAC